AUUGAACGCUGGCGGCAGGCCUAACACAUGCAAGUCGAGCGCCGUAGCAAUACGGAGCGGCAGACGGGAGAGUAACACGUGGGAACGUACCCUUUGGUUCGGAACAACCCAGGGAAACUUGGGCUAAUACCGGAUAAGCCCUCACGGGGAAAGAUUUAUCGCCGGAGGAGGGGCCCGCGUCUGAUUAGCUAGUUGGUGAGGUAAUGGCUCACCAAGGCGACGAUCAGUAGCUGGUCUGAGAGGAUGAUCAGCCACACUGGGACUGAGACACGGCCCAGACUCCUACGGGAGGCAGCAGUGGGGAAUAUUGGACAAUGGGGGCAACCCUGAUCCAGCAAUGCCGCGUGAGUGAUGAAGGCCUUCGGGUUGUAAAGCUCUUUUGGCAGGGACGAUGAUGACGGUACCUGCAGAAUAAGCCCCGGCUAACUUCGUGCCAGCAGCCGCGGUAA
rnacentral:rRNA from 1 species